CUCCGUGUAGGCCGCAGUGAAGCCUGAACUCGAGUAGGGCCCAAGCCAGCCAGGAAGGAGGAGGCCGCCAGAGUGUUCUCUGCAGCAGAAGACCCCUUGCUGCCCUGCUUAACCCAGACCAGCAUUUGCCAGGUGCCAGACAUCGUGUUGACACUUUCAACAAGCUGUCCACCACAACUCCUUGUCGGUCAAUGACUGCUCAGACCCCAUCAGCGUAUAUAUGAAGUGAGGGUUUUUUGCCCCAAUAUUCAUCACUUUACACUUGCUAACCUUGAGUCUAACCUUGUGAUUUCUCUUUCUUUCAAAUGUAGCUCAAGAAGGGGGAAAGAAGGCUUGAACCUCAGAAUGAUGUUUAUCUUUGUCAAAGCGUUCAUGCUAGGAAAUGCAUGUUUUAAUCUGUGCUUUGUUGCAGUCAAAGGUGACCAGAUUUUCUAUGAAGGAUCUUCCCAGGGAAAUGUUUGUCCACCAGAGAUAAGCGAGACUGUCACAGAAAUCUUGUGAAGAAAAUGAACCUUAGGGUUCAACCACUUGCCAUUGAGAAAGGGUGUUGGAAAUGGCAAUUGGAUUACUCCAAGCCAGAAAGUGAAGGGGUAAUCCUACCUUAAACCUGAAGAAGAUGUGGGGAUUCAUAUGUAAAUAGAUUCUCUGUACAGAGACUCUGACUUCAGUUCCCAUCCAAAAAAGACAUGUAACCCAGCUAAAGGUAAAGUUGUGCCAUCGAGCCAGUGUCGACUCCUGGCGACCACAGAGCCCUGUGGUUGUCUUUUAAGAAUACAGGAGGGGUUUACCAUUGCCAUCUCCCACACAGUAUGAGAUGGUGCCUUUCAGCUUCUUCCUAUAUCACUGUUGCCCGAUAUAAGUGUUUCCCAUAGUCUGGGUUUUUUCUUAUUUGAGCAAAGAGGAACAUUUUUUGAAGUGGUGAUUUUCUUUAUUUAGCAGGGGGAGAGCAACUAGCCCUAUUCAACUCCAGCUCAGCAUCCCUCUCAUGGCUGUUGCUGGUGUCUCCCAUAUGUUUCUUUUUAGAUUGUGAGCCCUUUGGGGAUAGGGUGCCAUAUUUAUUUAUCUAUUUAUUUAUAGCUAUGUAAACCGCUUUGAGAUCUUUGGUUGAAGAGCUGUAUAUAAAUAUUUGUAGUAGUAGUAAAGUUUCUUAAAUUUA